rnacentral:lncRNA from 1 species
GAGACAGGGAUACUGGAGUGAUGGAGGUAGAUAUGUAUAGGGGGAAGGAGACAGGGAUACUGGAGUGAUGGAGGUAGAUAUGUAUAGGGGGAAGGAGACAGGGAUACUGGAGUGAUGGAGGUAGAUAUGUAUAGGGGGAAGGAGACAGGGAUACUGGAGUGAUGGAGGUAGAUAUGUAUAGGGGGAAGGGAACAGGGAUACUGGAGUGAUGGAGGUAGAUAUGUAUAGGGGGAAGGGGACAGGGAUACUGGAGUGAUGGAGGUAGAUAUGUAUAGGGGGAAGGGGACAGGGAUACUGGAGGGAUGGAGGUAGAUAUGUAUAGGAGACAGGGAUACUGGAGUGAUGGAGGUAGAUAUGUAUAGGGGACAGGGAUACUGGAGUGAUGGAGGUAGAUAUGUAUAGGGGACAGGGAUACUGGAGUGAUGGAGGUAGAUAUGUAUAGGGGGAAGGAGACAGGGAUACUGGAGUGAUGGAGGUAGAUAUGUAUAAGGGACAGGGAUACUGGAGUGAUGGAGGUAGAUAUGUAUAGGGG